UGCGCCGACAAAGGCCACCGCUGCGGCCUCUGACUUGCUCUCCUACGUCUCCUCUCUCAACGUCAACUCCCACCUCCCAUCUUGGAGAUCCUCGCCUGGCGGGCGUCAUCUCCCCCAUCCCCCGCCUCCCAAACCGCCGGUGGGUGAGCCUCUAGGGCGGCGGGAGCGAGCUGCUCCCCUGUGCGCUCGCCAAGGCCGCCGUCGCCCGCGACUACUUUGUCAAUGGGUUGGGGACGGACGAAAGGGGGAGAGACGCUGUGGAUUCGCCUCGUGGCGGGGAUGGAAUUACUCACUUGGGAGCUCGCUAAGGCCGUCGACCGCGGGCAUCACGUGUGGACUAGAUCUACAUAGGCGGAUGAUUCAGUUCGGGAUCUUGUGUCGAGAACAUGCAGCCUGUCCGUGAAUCUUUUGCAAGGCAGACUGGUAGUGCUAUGUCAUGCGUCCAUUCAGUUCACUGUGUCACCAAAGCCUAAACUGAAACCAUGCACGUGGCCAGAAAGUUUUCAGUGAGAGAGCUUGGUCAGACAUGGAAGUGGAGCAUCAGAAGUUGCUGGAUGAAAGAGAGAGGAUUCUGAAGAGGCCGAGAGGACAAUUGUCAAGACAAAACCCAUAUCGAAGGAGCAAGUAGCAGAUGAAAUCAUUUGUUCUAGGACAUCUUUUUUUUCUGGUAGGAAGGUUAGUAAUAGCCUCUUAAUUUGGUAGUUGGGAUACCAAUAAUCUUUCUGAAGAAGGAGCGGAAGCCUCUUACUGAAGUGGGACAGUUUGAAUUACACGUCGAUGAGAGGACAAUUCAAAGAUCAGAAUUGUAUACCAUGGUAAAUGAGAAGGAGAUCAGCUACAAGAGGUCGCAAGAGGAGAAUGAAUUUUCGCAAAAGGUAUAUCCACCUGAUCCUCACAAUCUCAGAGGUUGCAGUGGUGCAAGUGUAAGCACUUUUUUCUAAUAUGCCACGGUAAAUGAGAAGGAGAUAAGCUACAAGAAGUCGCAAGAGGAGAAUGAAUUUUCGCAAAAGGUAUAUCCACCUGAUCCUCACAAUCUCAGAGGUUGCAGUGGUGCAAGUGUAAGCACUUUUUCUAAUAUGUGUGCGAAGAUCGAGAAAGAGAAGGCCGCCGAAGCAUCUAAGAAGACCAUGUUGCGACAAGCACAGUCCCUCCCAAAGUUCGACAGACCGUUAUGUCCACAAAGGCAAGCAUAAACCACCAAAUUAUGUCGUUUAUAUUGGUUUACCUUCCUCCAGUUUUGUCAUAUCACAGGCCUACAACCGAUAUUUCCUCGGAGGUCAACGAAGCAGGUGAUCAAAACAAGGUCGCUACAGCUUCAGGUGAAUGAAUGAAGGGCGAGAAGGCACGUUUUCAUGACAUGAUCUUAGUCUCCAUAUCAGAGUAACAAAAGUAUCAAAUUCAAAAAUGCGGAGGAUGCUCUAUGAUUAGGAAGUGAACUCUUCGUAUCUGAAGCUAAUAUUUCUUUCUUUUCUUACAUAGUGUUGCUGCCCACAUAACAAACCUAGGUGGGCACGGAUGGGAGAUGUUUGCCAGGCAGUAUACUUGACGGAACAAUUCAGAAUAUUGAGUCCUUUGUCACAUUCAAACAUAUACCUCUUACAUCAUGCUGCAAAGCAGGAGAAAUGCAAGUAUAGAAAUGUUGCAAGGAUAUUGCAAUUCCAUCUCACAUGAGUCAAUUUUUUCUAGCACGAUGAAAUUUAUCCUACAUGGCUUAAUCUUAUUAUAAUUUGGAAUUUACUAAUAGACAAAUAAUUCUAUUUGGCCCUUCUUUGCACACUACCCAUUGAUGUAUCUCAGUUAAAUUAUUUAUUUGUAUAGAGCACAUAAGGUGAUAUAAGAAAUGGCAAAUGAAGGUCUGGAGCCUAAUCUCAAGAUGUAUACUACCUCGAUUAAAGGUUGGCAAAUGCAUCACUUCCAGAUGGAGCAUUGGAAUGUUUCUAAGAGAUGAAACCGAUGCGACUGAAGCUUGAUGAGGCCGCUUAUUAUUGCUUGGUGUCCACUUCUCUUGAGGAAAAAUGUAAUGAAGCACAUGCAUAGGAAUCUUGUGUGUUUGCAGAGAAAUGUUUGAUAUCCACUUACGAGAGGAUAUAAACGAUUUAUAAUAAACUGUUGGUCAUCGGAGGGGUUAAGAGUGGUUAGGAAAUCUAGAGUGUCAAUAUAGUUCCUAUAAAAUACUUAUAAAAAUGCAUAAAGUUUAUAGAAAAGAACAAAGUGUAUAGGAAAGAGAGGCACUCUAUAUUUUUUAUUGACUUUUGCAUUUUGUGUUAUUGUUUAAGA